GAGCCAGUUGGACAGGAGC
rnacentral:miRNA from 2 species